GGGUAAUCUACUGAGAAAAGGAAAAGGAGCAUGAGGGAGCGUGUGGACCAGGAGAGCAUUGUUAGAUCUUCUGCAUUCAGUUAUGCCGCUGCUGGCCAGCCCUCCUUCUAUCCCGUUGGAGUUUCACCCGUAGAUGGGGCACCAAGAAACAGUGAGGUAGGUGCUCUUGAGGGCAUCCAUUCCACUCAGUUCUAGGGAUGUUGGGACCUACCUGGGUCAUGCAGGGGUCAUGCAGGUAGGAUCUUCCUCAAAGAUAUGCUUCCCAGGCCUUCCUACCACUCAAGAGAGAAGGCAGUGACAGCUGGGAUAGAAAGGGGUUGGUUGCUGGCUCUUCUCCAAGUGCUUGUUCCACUCUCUUACCUCUCCCUCCCCUGCCACAUCUCUGUCUCAGGCUUUUCCUCUCUUCUUUCUUCCACCUCUAACUUUUCAGUGCUUGCUCAUUUGGUUGCUGUCCAGAUCUCGGUGCUGAAUGCACCUUCCUGAUGCAGAAAGUUUCCUCAAUCACAGGCCAGUCACGUCCUGAUCACCUCUACCCCUAUGGGGGCACUGGGCACAAGGAAGAACAACAACAGGAUCUUCCUUAAGAAUGAAGUGAAACAUCUCAGGACCUGAGGACUUCAGACCUCUCCAGGGAAGCAGUCUGGUCCUGGUGUACUUUACAAGAUCCCAUUCAUUCAUUCGUGAAUACUUACUUAGUACUUGCAAUGUGCCAGCACUGUUCAGCCCAUGGAGACACAAAUGAGGAAAAUGCUCAGACUUUGCCCAGUAAGAGCUGGACAGGAAAAGACAAAAGCUAGCAAGGUGAUGGCAUAAGAUCAGAUGGUGACUGCUGCCCCCUACCCACAUGGGCAGCUGUACUUAAGGUCGCUCAUGUGAAUUUCCAGGGACACCAAAUAAAACACAGACACACACUUUACCUUUAAACAAGCUUCAGGAUGGCUCCUCUGCUCUCAGCCCCAAGCUCCCCAAAUGGGAGAGCGAGGGAAAGUCACAAGAGGCUGGUGAGAGAGAGUGAGCACGUUUGGAAGUGGGCUUUUAUUGGGGGACCCUUAUUCUUAGAAAGUUCCAUACAAAAAAAGUCAGAAGGGGCAGGGUUACAAAGGACAGGUGAGUGUAAUUCAACCCAAGGAGCUAUAGUGUGACACAGCUACGUCUGAAGAUAAGUCCUCAAACUUCUGGGACUAGGGCAAUGUCCAGGUCACCACGAGAUGUAGUGAUGGUCAAAGCCUCUCCGCUCCAGGACGGAAGACCGCGAAUCAUUCAGAGUGGCUCCCCACAGGCGACCAUAAUGGACAGAGAUCUAUAAAAGGGCCCUGGGGUUUCUCCAAGAGCAGGAUCCACUAAGUCAAUUCCUGGGUCCUGCUGGGAGGCCUGCCAUGCUGGAAUCUAUAGGCAACAGUCACUUAUCUGGGGGUGGGGCUGUUGCAGAAGAAAUGACCAGGGCAGGGGCUGAUGGAGAGGAAACAUCCUAGUACAACUCACUCCAGGAAACCUAAUGUUUUCCUCUUCAGGCAAUGGGGCAUGUGAAGAGGUCUGAUCCCAUUGGGACCUCAAUGACCUCUCCUUUCAUCUCUCUACCCCUCCCCAAAGGGGUCUAAUUAGGAUCUAUCUGGGGGAACUCAUGGAAAGAGGAUCAGAGAAUAAUGGAGAUGGUAAAGGGAAAUAGACUGCAAAGUACUCGAACUACCUAGACAGGGUCGUCCACAGUGGUCAUGAGGGGCUUAUUUCUUUUUCUGGGGGAGGUCUUGAUGCACUUUGUUUAUUUGCAAUCUGUCCCAGGAGGCAGAGUGUCUACAUAUUCAGAGCCCCAAUCUGAUGACUUUACCACUAAGCUAUAUCCCCAGCUCUCUUUCACUUUUUGAGACAAUUUCUCACUAAGUUGCCGAAGCUAGCCUUAAACAUGCUAUCCUCCUGGCUCAGUCUCCAGAGCCACUGGGAUUACAGAUUGAACCACCACACCUGUCUAUUUAUAUAUUCAUAUUGUAAUGAUCAUUUGGAUUAUUUCUAAGUUUUGGUGAUUAUGAAUAGAAUGGUUAUCAAUAUUUGUAGGCACAAGUUUUCAUUUAUUUCAUUUAUUUGUUCAUCAUUAAGAGUUCUUUUAUCAGUUCUUUUAAAUUUUAUUUACUUGUUGGUAUGUGGUGCUGAGGAUCAAACCCCGUGACAGGCAAGUGCUCUGCC
rnacentral:lncRNA from 1 species